UUCUUUAUUCUUGCUUGUCAG
rnacentral:piRNA from 1 species